GGAAAGGUGACUCAGUGGUAGAGUGCUUGCCUUGCAUGCAUGAGGCCCUGGGUUCGAUUCCUCAGUACCA
rnacentral:tRNA from 1 species